CAAAUGUUUGAUAUUGUAUUAUUAUUGAGGAUUGUUUAUAAAGCACGCACGUAAAGGCUUUUUUUCUUAAAAUGUCAAUGAGAGUGAAUAAACAUUUUGAUACCAGUCUCAACAGCCCCAAUGAAGAGAUGUACCAAACAUAUGCAAACGCUAUUAAGUCAGCAAUUGAAGACAGUUACAAAACUUUGUCUAUCUACAUUAAAAAUUCAGCAAAAGUCACUCAAUUCAGGCCCUGUAGCAUUAUAGCAGAUUAUGAAUUUAGUGUCACAGCAUACACCCUCGGCAGCCCCAGCGGCGCCAACAGCAAUGAUUUUGCGUCAGC